AUUGAAUAUGGGCAAAAUUCUCCGAAAGGGAAUGACGCAAAGCCAUGGGUCUACAGUCUCGAACGUCAUAGGGACCAUGACUGCCAGGUUGCUGAU
rnacentral:ncRNA from 1 species